AUUGAACGCUGGCGGCAGGCCUAACACAUGCAAGUCGAGCGAGCGGCGGACGGGUGAGUAAUGUAUGGGGAUCUGCCCGAUAGAGGGGGAUAACUACUGGAACCGGUGGCUCAUACCGCAUACUAUCGGUUGAACCCAUUUGGGAUUAGCUAGUAGUUGGGGUAACGGCUCACCUAGGCGACACUCUCUAGCUGGUCUGAGAGGAUGAUCGUCCACACUGGGACUGAGACACGGACCAGACUCCUACGGGAGGCAGCAGUGGGGAAUAUGGCACAAUGGGCGCAAGCCUGAUGCAGCCAUGCCGCGUGUAUGAAGAAGGCCUUAGGGUUGGAAAGCACUGUCAGCGGGGAGGCGUUACCCGCAGAAGAAGCACCGGCUAACUCCGUGCCAGCAGCCGCGGUAAUAC
rnacentral:rRNA from 1 species